rnacentral:rRNA from 1 species
GGGUUGUGAGGUUAAGCGACUAAGCGUACACGGUGGAUGCCCUGGCAGUCAGAGGCGAUGAAGGACGUGCUAAUCUGCGAUAAGCGUCGGUAAGGUGAUAUGAACCGUUAUAACCGGCGAUUUCCGAAUGGGGAAACCCAGUGUGAUUCGUCACACUAUCAUUAACUGAAUCCAUAGGUUAAUGAGGCGAACCGGGGGAACUGAAACAUCUAAGUACCCCGAGGAAAAGAAAUCAACCGAGAUUCCCCCAGUAGCGGCGAGCGAACGGGGAGCAGCCCAGAGCCUGAAUCAGUGUGUGUGUUAGUGGAAGCGUCUGGAAAGGCGCGCGAUACAGGGUGACAGCCCCGUACACAAAAAUGCACAUGCUGUGAGCUCGAUGAGUAGGGCGGGACACGUGGUAUCCUGUCUGAAUAUGGGGGGACCAUCCUCCAAGGCUAAAUACUCCUGACUGACCGAUAGUGAACCAGUACCGUGAGGGAAAGGCGAAAAGAACCCCGGCGAGGGGAGUGAAAAAGAACCUGAAACCGUGUACGUACAAGCAGUGGGAGCACGCUUAGGCGUGUGACUGCGUACCUUUUGUAUAAUGGGUCAGCGACUUAUAUUCUGUAGCAAGGUUAACCGAAUAGGGGAGCCGAAGGGAAACCGAGUCUUAACUGGGCGUUAAGUUGCAGGGUAUAGACCCGAAACCCGGUGAUCUAGCCAUGGGCAGGUUGAAGGUUGGGUAACACUAACUGGAGGACCGAACCGACUAAUGUUGAAAAAUUAGCGGAUGACUUGUGGCUGGGGGUGAAAGGCCAAUCAAACCGGGAGAUAGCUGGUUCUCCCCGAAAGCUAUUUAGGUAGCGCCUCGUGAAUUCAUCUCCGGGGGUAGAGCACUGUUUCGGCAAGGGGGUCAUCCCGACUUACCAACCCGAUGCAAACUGCGAAUACCGGAGAAUGUUAUCACGGGAGACACACGGCGGGUGCUAACGUCCGUCGUGAAGAGGGAAACAACCCAGACCGCCAGCUAAGGUCCCAAAGUCAUGGUUAAGUGGGAAACGAUGUGGGAAGGCCCAGACAGCCAGGAUGUUGGCUUAGAAGCAGCCAUCAUUUAAAGAAAGCGUAAUAGCUCACUGGUCGAGUCGGCCUGCGCGGAAGAUGUAACGGGGCUAAACCAUGCACCGAAGCUGCGGCAGCGACGCUUAUGCGUUGUUGGGUAGGGGAGCGUUCUGUAAGCCUGUGAAGGUGUACUGUGAGGUAUGCUGGAGGUAUCAGAAGUGCGAAUGCUGACAUAAGUAACGAUAAAGCGGGUGAAAAGCCCGCUCGCCGGAAGACCAAGGGUUCCUGUCCAACGUUAAUCGGGGCAGGGUGAGUCGACCCCUAAGGCGAGGCCGAAAGGCGUAGUCGAUGGGAAACAGGUUAAUAUUCCUGUACUUGGUGUUACUGCGAAGGGGGGACGGAGAAGGCUAUGUUGGCCGGGCGACGGUUGUCCCGGUUUAAGCGUGUAGGCUGGUUUUCCAGGCAAAUCCGGAAAAUCAAGGCUGAGGCGUGAUGACGAGGCACUACGGUGCUGAAGCAACAAAUGCCCUGCUUCCAGGAAAAGCCUCUAAGCAUCAGGUAACAUCAAAUCGUACCCCAAACCGACACAGGUGGUCAGGUAGAGAAUACCAAGGCGCUUGAGAGAACUCGGGUGAAGGAACUAGGCAAAAUGGUGCCGUAACUUCGGGAGAAGGCACGCUGAUAUGUAGGUGAAGUCCCUCGCGGAUGGAGCUGAAAUCAGUCGAAGAUACCAGCUGGCUGCAACUGUUUAUUAAAAACACAGCACUGUGCAAACACGAAAGUGGACGUAUACGGUGUGACGCCUGCCCGGUGCCGGAAGGUUAAUUGAUGGGGUCAGCGCAAGCGAAGCUCUUGAUCGAAGCCCCGGUAAACGGCGGCCGUAACUAUAACGGUCCUAAGGUAGCGAAAUUCCUUGUCGGGUAAGUUCCGACCUGCACGAAUGGCGUAAUGAUGGCCAGGCUGUCUCCACCCGAGACUCAGUGAAAUUGAACUCGCUGUGAAGAUGCAGUGUACCCGCGGCAAGACGGAAAGACCCCGUGAACCUUUACUAUAGCUUGACACUGAACAUU